rnacentral:rRNA from 1 species
ACACGUAGGGGGCCAGCGUUGUCCGGAAUUACUGGGCGUAAAGGGCGUGUAGGCGGCCAUUCAAGUCAGCUGUGAAACAUCCGGGCUCAACCUGGGGCUUGCAGUUGAAACUGAGUGGCUUGAGUGCAGGAGAGGAGAGUGGAAUUCCUAGUGUAGCGGUGAAAUGCGUAGAUAUUAGGAGGAACACCAGUGGCGAAGGCGGCUCUCUGGACUGCAACUGACGCUGAGGCGCGAAAGCGUGGGGAGCAAACAGGAUUAGAUACCCUGGUAGUCCACGCUGUAAACGAUGGGUACUAGGUGUAGGGGGCUUAAAUGCCUUCUGUGCCGCAGCCAACGCAUUAAGUACCCCGCCUGGGGAGUACGGCCGCAAGGCUGAA